UACAGAGGGUGCAAGCGUUAAUCGGAAUUACUGGGCGUAAAGCGCGCGUAGGUGGUUUGUUAAGUUGAAUGUGAAAUCCCCGGGCUCAACCUGGGAACUGCAUGCAAAACUGGCAAGCUAGAGUAUGGUAGAGGGUGGUGGAAUUCCUGUGUAGCGGUGAAAUGCGUAGAUAUAGGAAGGAACACCGGUGGCGAAGGCGG
rnacentral:rRNA from 1 species